GAACUGGGAGCGCACACAGAAAAUUUACGGAGCAAUUAAUGUGAAACGGUUACCCAACCGCAUAGGAUUUCUUAACAUUUUGGCCUGAGGAAAGACGAUUCGGUCUGAAACGAGCGGAGAGACAUUGCCGGCUCAUACUCGUUGCCAUCCUUAGCAAACGGAGUUUUGCUUCACUGCAAAUGGUGCCUUGCUGCUCUGGAUUGUACCUUGCCAUCCUUAGCAAACGGAGUUUUGCUUUACUGCAAAUGGUGCCUUGCUGCUCUGGAUUGUACUUUGUGUUUGACUGAACUUUUGGAUAUUGCAAUAUACGAGCGGUUCCUUUCAGGACUUUGGAAACUGUACAUGUUGUAAACUUUAUUACUGUAAACUGUACAUAUUGUGAACUUUAUUAUUGCAUGUUGGGUAUUGGUAGACAGUGUGGACCUUGUCAAUGUGAAUUGCAACAAGCAUAAAUAACUUGUGAAUGUGA